rnacentral:lncRNA from 1 species
GGGAAACGCAAGCCUUGGGAUUGGAAUUCGGUUUGGCAGAGAGAAUAGCAGCGGUUGAAGUUGCAGCAGUACAGGCCAUAGUCGUUGAUUGAUAGCUCUGAAAUCGCUUGCUGUCUGAAUAUGAUGAAUCUGGAGAGUGGCAAUAGUGUCUUUCGGUGGAGAGUCAAAAUAUUUGUUGGUGUGAAAAGAUAUACAGUGGAAUAUUCAAGAAGGUUCUCUUUGUACUUUCUGAAAAAUUAAUAAUCUUUUUU